AGGUGCUCGCUUUGGCAGCCUAUAAACUAAAAUUGGAAUGAUACAGAGAUUAGCAUGGUCCCUGCACAAGGAUGACAAAUUUGUGAAGCGUUCCAUAUUUUU
ensembl:snRNA U6 U6 spliceosomal RNA